UGGCCAAAGAUGAAAACCAUGAACUGAUUGUGGAUACUUCUAUAAAGUGUUAUACACAGAUCUGAUGGCUCAAAGGAUUUUCUGAGGCCA
ensembl:snoRNA small nucleolar RNA SNORD93